UGGCGUUUGAGGUUGUGGAGGCAUUUGAAUCAAGCAAAGUUUCCUCGUGUUGUUCUACAUCCUGUAAAUAGAUUGUGCUGAUGUUUUCUCCCUGGAUUGGUAACAGAUCUCAUCUGAGCUCUAAAUUUCCAUGGUUUGUAGUUUCCAUUUCUAUGCUACUGAGUGAUGAAUUAUCCACGUACGGCAACUGUUCCGAAAUAAACCGACUCCACCUUGCUGGUAUUAGUGCUUGUAUUUCAAGCUCGUUUGGAUUGUUUUUAUCCCAUGUACAUUACGGGAUACUUGGGAACUAGUGAGAUGAGAGAUUUUGGGGAAUUGUGGACACACAUAAUGACUUGCUAUUUAAAGCUAGUACUAGUAUGAUGUGAUUGACGUAUUUGAUAGUGUGACACUCAGGACAAUUCAUACUGUGCAUGUGGAUCUGUACCGACGAUUUAAUGAUAUAAUUUUCUCCGUUUAAUAUGUGUAUUUUGACGCCACAAUUUACGCUAUUUCUAGUUCAUAGUCCCAACGUAGCACGAGUUCUUUUUCUAGUUUGCAUAUUAGGUUGGAUUUGGUAGAUGAAAUUGUGAAUCACUCUAAAUAAGUAUGGUGAAAGACUUACGUUUGAUUGUAAGUGGUAAUUCUUUUUGAAAAGCGCAACUCAAUGCAUAAAAGUUUUUGCUAUGCAGUCGGUAGUCCUGAUAAGGGCUAAACUACAAGGGUCUAUCCUCUGUGUAUAGCCGUAGGAAAAGAACACCAGUGCUCAAUGUAAUUAUCAUACAAAAACUAGAUUUACAGUCAGUUGUUUGGUAUAUGAGGGGAUAAGGGAUAACUAAUUUUGAGCUUAAUUUUUGGAUGAUCUAAUUUUGCGGUAGGUUGGAAUAAAUUUGUGUGAUAACUUAUCCCUGAAUCACAGUGUUGUUUCUAUCCCAUAUUUAGGGUGAGAUAACAAUCCUUGGGGUAACUCAUUUUCCAACCAAGCAAGCCCUUAUUUUAAUACAACUGGUUAUCUUGAGCAAUUAUUUAAGUAUCCUUUACAAUUUAAUCAGAAAUAUAUUAGACAAUGUGCUACCGUGUGUAUGAGGACCUAUGAGGGGUUAGCUAUAGUUGGUAUAAAAAGAGCUAAGUGUCGAAUUAGUACUGGGGAAAAGUAAUUAGAUAAGACAAAAUACAGUUAGCAGUUUCUCGAGGGGAUGCACCAAGACAGGAAGAUUUGGAGAUCGAGAAUUAGGAUAGAAUAUUAGUAGAUAACCGAGCAUUGUGUAGUGUGUUUAUUGGUAUUGUUUUUAUUACUCUUCUAUUAUCGUAUUCUUCGAUUUUAUUGUCUCACUAGCUUUAGUUAUCAUAGUAGUUGUUGUUCCACUGCUCCCUUCUCCAUUGUUUUCGGUAUGCACUCUUCAAUAUCGUAUUUUCUUUACAAAUCUAAUUUUCGAUAUACUCUAUCUUGUAGUAUGGGGCCAAAUGAACCACAAUUUGAAGCUAAAAUGUCAAAAGAGACGAUAAAUUUUUGAAUUAGCCAAAAGGGACAAAGCAUGAGAUUGUCCGCGACAAAUAAAUUCCACUAAUGGCUGGGAAUUUACUUUUGAUUUGCCGUACACGAACGCACGACUUGUUAUUUUUCAUUUCUUUCUCAAAUAAAAAUAUUCAUUAUACACGUUAACACCUAACAGUGCUCUUCGUUCAUAUUGCUACUAAUUAGAAGAAGAUGCACUAAUCCAGAUAUAUAAAUAAAAAAAUAGAUAGAAAAAAGUAACGGAUAGUUAAGAUGUCAAAUUCGCGAAAAUGUUAUGUUACAGAUAUAGGAGACCUAGAAAUCGUCAUGCUUCUCUCAUGUGGAUACAAAUUAAACACAUAUACACACUUAUUUUAUCCUAGUAUAAUUUUUCGAAUGAUAUUCAAAAACUUCAAAGUAAUAAAGACGAGAAAUGUAAUAAGAACUUUGCAAGAAUGAAAUUAUUGAACUUGAAAAAUUACCAAUGGAGUAUGAACAAGGAUUACCAUUGGGUUCUUCAAAAAUUAUAUACUCAUCAUUUGUACGUUUUGGUUUAUUUGAUCAUGGGUCAUGCAAUCUCGUACGACUUAGAGGGAAAUGAAAAAAACAAGUCGUGGGACUGGGGCGCGACAAAUUUAAGAAAUGGCAUGAAUGGUUAGCACAAUUUGGUUGUUGCUGAGAGUCCCACGCUUUGUUUCUUUUGAUCAGGUUCUUAAUUUAUUCUUCCUUUUGAUAUGUUAGGUUCAUAAUAUGACUCUUUUGGCUCUGGAUUCCUUUAUUAAUUUUGAACAAGUCAAAGGUUGUUAAUUACAAGACUUGGGGCAAAU
rnacentral:lncRNA from 1 species